UUUAACUACAAAAGAAACAAAGAAAAGAAGAACAAGAAUCAAUGAAUGUCCACUAGAAAUAUAUUCAUUUGUAUGUAAAAUGUUUAUUCUUGUGGAAGUUAGUAGUUUAUAGCUAUCUGUUAAUUUUUUCAUUUCCUUGUAAAUUUGCAGUCCACAGUCCAGUUGGGACUUGAUUUUUUAUCUCUUGAAAGUCUGGGUGAGUUUGUAAGGUUAGCUGAAGAAAUACGCUAUCUUCCAAAUGAUAAUGACAGAAAGCUUCAAAUGUUGGAGGUCAGGAGAAGGAAAUUUUCCUUAGAAGUAGGAAAGAUAUCACUAUAUGCUGCAAGUUCAGCGAUUAUGGAAGUCCAAAAGCUUGUGCUGGAUCCAAAACUUGGUGCAGAGCUUGGAUUUGAGGAUCAAAUUUGACUGCAAUGGUUUCAAAGAAUUUAGAGGAGGUGGUUAAGCGAAGAUAGAUCACUUGUGUUUGAAUUAGUAAGUGUACAGAGCUUGUAAUUUAGGUGAAAUAGAAUUCAAUAUCUCAAGUUGGGAUGAGAAUGCAUGUUUUAUAGUGUAAAACGUGUAAAUAUGUUUGCACGUAGUCUUCUUUUGAGGUUUCAAUGCCCUCUUACAUCAAGAAAAUACCAUGGCAUUUUUACAAUGAAUAUAGGGAAAUUUGAUAGAUAACCUUAUUGUAAGGAUAUGUUCUCUUUUGUAGAAUAUUAAUGUUUAAUAUUUUUGUGAUUAAUGUCAGA